GAUCCAUUAGCUCAGCAGGCAGAGCACCUGCCUUUUAAGCAGGGUGUCCGGGGUUCGAAUCCCCGAUGGAUCACCA
rnacentral:tRNA from 1 species